GACUGCCCUAUGGGUUGUAAACUUCUUUUAUCCUUNAAUAAAGUGAGGCACGUGUGCCUUUUUGUAUGUACCGUAUGAAUAAGGAUCGGCUAACUCCGUGCCAGCAGCCGCGGUAAUACGGAGGAUCCGAGCGUUAUCCGGAUUUAUUGGGUUUAAAGGGAGCGUAGGCGGACGCUUAAGUCAGUUGUGAAAGUUUGCGGCUCAACCGUAAAAUUGCAGUUGAUACUGGGUGUCUUGAGUACAGUAGAGGCAGGCGGAAUUCGUGGUGUAGCGGUGAAAUGCUUAGAUAUCACGAAGAACUCCGAUUGCGAAGGCAGCUUGCUGGACUGUAACUGACGCUGAUGCUCGAAAGUGUGGGUAUCAAACAGGAUUAGAUACCCUGGUAGUCCACACAGUAAACGAUGAAUACUCGCUGUUUGCGAUAUACAGUAAGCGGCCAAGCGAAAGCGUUAAGUAUUCCACCUGGGGAGUACGCCGGCAACGGUGAAACUCAAAGGAAUUGACGGGGGCCCGCACAAGCGGAGGAACAUGUGGUUUAAUUCGAUGAUACGCGAGGAACCUUACCCGGGCUUGAAUUGCAACUGAAUGAUGUGGAGACAUGUCAGCCGCAAGGCAGUUGUGAAGGUGCUGCAUGGUUGUCGUCAGCUCGUGCCGUGAGGUGUCGGCUUAAGUGCCAUAACGAGCGCAACCCUUAUCGAUAGUUACCAUCAGGUUAUGCUGGGGACUCUGUCGAGACUGCCGUCGUAAGAUGUGAGGAAGGUGGAA
rnacentral:rRNA from 1 species